UACGUAGGGUGCAAGCGUUGUCCGGAAUUAUUGGGCGUAAAGAGCGUGUAGGCGGCCAGGUAGGUCUGCUGUGAAAACUCGAGGCUUAACCUCGAGAUGUCGGCGGAAACCAUCUGGCUAGAGUCCGGAAGAGGAGAGUGGAAUUCCUGGUGUAGCGGUGAAAUGCGCAGAUAUCAGGAAGAACACCCGUGGCGAAGGCGGCUCUCUGGGACGGUACUGACGCUGAGACGCGAAAGCGUGGGGAGCAAACAGG
rnacentral:rRNA from 1 species